CCCUUAGAUGUUCUGGGCCGCACGCGCGCUACACUGAUACGUUCAACGAGUUUAUAACCUUGAUUGAUAGGUCUGGGUAAUCUUUUGAAUGCGUAUCGUGCUAGGGAUAGAUUAUUGCAAUUAUUAAUCUUGAACGAGGAAUUCCUAGUAAACGCAAGUCAUCAGCUUGCAUUGAUUACGUCCCUGCCCUUUGUACACGCCGCCCGUCGCACCUACCGAUUGAAUGACUCGGUGAAAAAUCGGGACUGUGGUCUAGCUUGCUUAAUUGCAAACUUGACUGUGGGAACUUUCUUUAACCUAUUCAUUUAGAGGAGGGUGAAGUCGUAACA
rnacentral:rRNA from 1 species